GUCUCUGUGGCGCAAUCGGCCAGCAGCGUUCGGCUGUUAACCGAAAGGUUGGUGGUUCGAGCCCACCCAGGGACG
rnacentral:tRNA from 1 species